CAUUCAGUUUCCCACCGUCACAAUUAAGUUAUCACAUCUAGGGUUCUGAUUCUGAACUUUGCUCCCUAAAAUCCCCAAAAUCUCUAGAACCAUCACUUCCGCUCCACCAUCACCAAUCGAAUCAUCCUCUACUCCACCUCAUUGUCGAUGAUCCAAAACCCUAAUCGCUCCCAAAAAUGGCAACCGUUGGACUUCAGCAACGAGCAAAUGAUUUCUUAGGGUUCGGUUUGUUGGGAACUAUGACUAACGUCUUGUUAUUCUUAAUCGAAGUUUUGUAGAUGAUACAAAAAAUAAACAAAGCUUUGAGCGCAGAUGAUUCUGACUAAACGAUCUCACAGGAAGUUUUUCAUGAUUUUCGCUUGGAUUUCAAAAGGGAUGUUGUCUGACAUCUUGAUCUUGAUUAUGAACGAUGCUUAAUAUUUAGGGUUUACGAAGGGAAUAUAUAGGGGAUGGUUGUGUAUUAAAUUAGAGCAGUCGAUGUGGUAAGGAUAUAUGGAAAUAAAGAACACAAGACUAGGGUAGGAGGUGCCAUUCCGGCGGUCGGAAAUCCUCACCGAUGGUAUUUCAUGAAUGAGUCUGGCUGGAAACUAUAUUUUGGUUUUGGUUUCAAUUGAUUAUAUGAGCUGGGAUUUCUUUAUCUUGGAUUAUCAUUGAAUCUUAUUUUCAUACACUAUACUACUGUUCUUCUGAAUUGAGGAUAGGUUGUGAUGAUCUUUAAAAUUGGUUGUGUGUUUGUGUUUUUUAUGAAUAAUAGAUUACAGGUCAAGGAUGAAGUAGUAGGUUACAAGUAGUAGAAGCAAGGAUACAAGUUUGAUUUUCAAAGGAUUUCACCACCAAAAGCAACAUGAAUUUCGAUACCAGAAGUUGAGCACAGAGCAAAGCUAGAUUCAACCCCAUUUGCCAAUCCUAAAAAGCGCAAGUCGGUUUCGACUUAGGCUGUUGUGGCAAUUCAGACGUUUAAUACUUGAGUCUCUGAGUGCAAAUUUGCAUCAUGAGUUAGACUAUCAGCUACUAUGGUUACUAUGAUUGAAAAGUUGAACUUAGUUAUCAAGGAGCUCAUUAAAGAAAAGGAUGAAGAAAAA